CUAGCUACAGGCUUAACACAUGCAAGUCGAGGGGCAGCAAGGUCUUAGCUUGCUAAGGCCGAUGGCGACCGGCGCACGGGUGAGUAACACGUAUCCAACCUGCCGUCUACUCUUGGACAGCCUUCUGAAAGGAAGAUUAAUACAAGAUGGCAUCAUGAGUCCGCAUGUUCACAUGAUUAAAGGUAUUCCGGUAGACGAUGGGGAUGCGUUCCAUUAGAUAGUAGGCGGGGUAACGGCCCACCUAGUCUUCGAUGGAUAGGGGUUCUGAGAGGAAGGUCCCCCACAUUGGAACUGAGACACGGUCCAAACUCCUACGGGAGGCAGCAGUGAGGAAUAUUGGUCAAUGGGCGAGAGCCUGAACCAGCCAAGUAGCGUGAAGGAUGACUGCCCUAUGGGUUGUAAACUUCUUUUAUAAAGGAAUAAAGUCGGGUAUGGAUACCCGUUUGCAUGUACUUUAUGAAUAAGGAUCGGCUAACUCCGUGCCAGCAGCCGCGGUAAUACGGAGGAUCCGAGCGUUAUCCGGAUUUAUUGGGUUUAAAGGGAGCGUAGAUGGAUGUUUAAGUCAGUUGUGAAAGUUUGCGGCUCAACCGUAAAAUUGCAGUUGAUACUGGAUAUCUUGAGUGCAGUUGAGGCAGGCGGAAUUCGUGGUGUAGCGGUGAAAUGCUUAGAUAUCACGAAGAACUCCGAUUGCGAAGGCAGCCUGCUAAGCUGCAACUGACAUUGAGGCUCGAAAGUGUGGGUAUCAAACGGGAUUAGAUACCCUGGUAGUCCACACGGUAAACGAUGAAUACUCGCUGUUUGCGAUAUACUGCAAGCGGCCAAGCGAAAGCGUUAAGUAUUCCACCUGGGGAGUACGCCGGCAACGGUGAAACUCAAAGGAAUUGACGGGGGCCCGCACAAGCGGAGGAACAUGUGGUUUAAUUCGAUGAUACGCGAGGAACCUUACCCGGGCUUAAAUUGCAGAUGAAUUACGGUGAAAGCCGUAAGCCGCAAGGCAUCUGUGAAGGUGCUGCAUGGUUGUCGUCAGCUCGUGCCGUGAGGUGUCGGCUUAAGUGCCAUAACGAGCGCAACCCUUGUUGUCAGUUACUAACAGGUUCCGCUGAGGACUCUGACAAGACUGCCAUCGUAAGAUGUGAGGAAGGUGGGGAUGACGUCAAAUCAGCACGGCCCUUACGUCCGGGGCUACACACGUGUUACAAUGGGGGGUACAGAGGGCCGCUACCACGCGAGUGGAUGCCAAUCCCCAAAACCUCUCUCAGUUCGGACUGGAGUCUGCAACCCGACUCCACGAAGCUGGAUUCGCUAGUAGUCGCGCAUCAGCCACGGCGCGGUGAAUACGUUCCCGGGCCU
rnacentral:rRNA from 1 species